UAGAACAAUAUGCGGCUUUCAUUAAUCG
rnacentral:sRNA from 1 species